UCUGGUGACUUUACAAAUCAGACGACGUUCUACUGGUUUAGUACCUAACAAUAACCGUAUAUAUUUCUAUAUCUCUCGUGUCCAAUAAACGUUAAUAUGAAGCAUGAAGCGAUGACUGCCGUGUGAGAGAUAUAUCAAGUUAGUUUGCAAAAAAAAUUUGAUGAUACGGAAAACCAAAAUCGAACGAGAAUCGUCUCGUAAGGCAUUGCUACAACACAUGUAGUAAAGUCGACAGCAGAGAGCCAGAUAAUUACUGUACGAACAUGGACCCGUUCUUGCAUAUCUACUACCCGCCAGUAAACUAUACUGAACGACUUUAGAAACGCAACACUCAUUUUGUUGAUUUUUUUUUACCAAAUCUUUUUUGAUUCUCUUACAACUACUUUUCAUGCUUAUCAUGCUUCUUUCUCCUUACAAAAAAUCAAAAUCUGACAUACCUGUGGUUAUUGAACAUACCGAAUUUUUGAAGUCGCACGAAUGUCUUAAAGCGAAAUUUUGGUCCCAUGAAAGAUUGUUUCAGUUUUUUUGCUUUGUGAAACAGUUCUUUCAAUCCUUUGCCUUACUUACUUUUUUUUUAAAUGUUGCAUCUCCAUUUUGCCAAGUCUGAGAAAUAAAAAAAACAAAGAACUGAAUUAGCCCUUAAGAAUACUGCAAACAUGAAAACAUAAAUGUGCUGCAACCAUACUGUAUGACUUCAGAAACUCGUUCUACUGUCCUUCCGACAACGAUUCAAGUAGACAAGAUUUGUUGCUGGCCAUCAAUGAACAGAUCAACGUGUAGUGACAAUGAAACAUCAACAGAAUUUGAUUAUGCAACGUCAUUUGCCAAUCAUGUUUACGGCCGCAACGUCAACUGCUAACCAAAUUGCCGAGUGCCAUUGAGUACUGAUUUAUGCCAUAAAUGUUUCCCAUGAACUGCAUUGCCAAAGAAUUGACUGAAGGAAAACCUGUAAAGCCCUCAAGUUCCAACCGCAUAAUUGCCAAAACCAAUUAAUGGGUUGAACAAAUGCAAAAUCAGAAGGUGUAAAACAGAACCCAAAAAAUGUCAGACAGAAUUUGUUGACCUUUCUGACAAUCAUUUUGGCGUUAGUAACAGGCAGUCAUCGCUUUUGACGUUGACACAUUCAUUAAAAAAUAACACAAAAAUAAUCUAGUGUUGCGAUUCUAAAGUCG
rnacentral:lncRNA from 1 species